rnacentral:lncRNA from 1 species
AUAAUAAGAAUGUAGUUAUUUAAAUCAUGUAAAAUAUUGUGUAACAACCGUUAUACUCUAAAUUUGAAUUAAAUGGGAGGAAAUUAAUAUGCUAUAAGUCUGGCGUGAAUCGAACUUAAAACUUCCUGCUCUGAUACCAUGUGAAACAAUCGUUGUAUUCUAAAAACUAAAAUUAUACAGAGAACAGUGUUUAUAUAUUUUUAUAUUUAACAAAUAUAUAUUCUAAUUAAAUCGAUCUCUUCAAAUAAAAAGCUAGCGCAUGGAAGUUUUGAAAUAGACCGGAGAGAAGAUACCAAAUAGUUCAAAUCAAAUUAAAUGAAAGAUUUAUUGGAAAAAUCAAAAUUCUUAGGCCCCGUUUGGAUCGCGGGAUAAGCGGGGAUAACGAAAGUUAUCCCCGCUAUUCCGCCAAACGGGGUAAAAUUUGGCCGGGAUAUUUUAUCCCGGUCAAACCUUGCUAUUCUCGGUUAUCCCGGAAUAGCAAGGGAUUUGCUAUUCCACCAUUUUGGUGGAAUAGUGCUAUUCCAAUGCUUAAUUUCAAACUUAAUUAAACUUAUAAAUUGAAUUAAACUAAAUUAUAUAAAUAUAAUAUGUUAUAUAU